UCCUGGAGCUGGGGGAAGUAGGGGGCGGGGUGCUGACUGCUACAGAGAGGAACUCCAGACCUCUGACCAGCUGGGUUGUUGUGAGUCUGACCACCUCCCCUGCCCAGUUCAGAACUCUGAGGUCUCUUCCUUUCAUCUCAAGACCCACCUGUCCACGGAGAUUCCCCACAAAUGGAGAAAGAUAAACAAAACAUAUUUGAAAAAAGAAGGCGAAGGACAGAGUAAGAAGAAGAGAGAAACUUGCAACAACCAACGUUCUAUCACUUGUGAGGCUUCUUCCUCUCUGCAGGACAGAGCCGGCCUCCUGUGACUGCACUGGCUGAGGGCAGGGCCCCAGCCCAGUGAACUCCAGCAGAAGAAGGUGGGAAGACAGAGGGCCAAUGAUCUCCUAUACAGGUGGGACUGGAGAGGUGCAUCAAGGGGUCAG